AUUACUACUGGUGCUGUAUUACAGAUGAGAAAACUGUGGUACAGAGAAGCUAAGUCAUUUGCCUAAGGUUACACAGUAAGUGAUAGAGCUAGGAUUCAAAUGCAGGUAGUCUAGUGUCUGAGCCUGGACCUUUAUCCACCAUAAUAGUGUCAUAGAAAGAUUUUUCCUCGUUUGGAAACUGCUUAUGAUAUACUGUUCAUGAAAAAAAGCAAGUUACUAAACAUGUGCUAUAUAAUGUCAUUUUUUGUAGGGGGAAAAAAACAAGGCAUGAAUUCACAUGAAUAGAAAAAAAUCUGAAAGAUUAUAUACAAAAAGAAGUAGAGCUGGUUUGGAGAGAUGAUGAAAUCGUGGGUGCUCUAUAUCGCGUGUGCUUUCCCAGGGACCCUGCCUUGAAGAUUUGGAGUCAGACUAUCUGGAACUGUCAUCAGAAAACAGGGGUCUUUUGCAAGAGACAGAGAGGAAGAGAGAAAACUCCCCUUUUGAUCAGUCAUCUGGGAGAGGCCACCUGUGGGGUCAGCUCCCUUUUAUUAAAGAAAGCCUUUCUGUUCAUGCAGGAGCUUGGCCCUCUUGUCAGGUGGUCUGCCUCUCCCUGGGCAGGAUCAGGACACACAGGGCUUUCGGGUGCCCCUGUGGGAAGCAGCUGCGAUCGUCACUGAGUGUGCCGGCAUGUAAACACAACCGUCAAGGGCCCCAAGCCCAGGGGCUGGCAGCGACUGGAAAUCUCUAGUGUUCAUCUGCCUGACAUUUGGUGCCCCUGGGUAGGUGGGUACAGCUGCCUGCUUCACAGCCUGCUGGUACAGGACCCAGGCCAACAAGGAUCACAUUCACUUCUCCCCUCACAGGGGAGUCCCCUGUUAAGGAACCUUCCAUGACCAAAGACGUGGAGGCAACCUGAAUGUCCGUCGACAGGGGAAUGAAUGAAGAAGACAUGGUACAUAUACACAAUGGAAUAUUACUCAGCCAUUAAAAAUGAAAUGACAUUUCCAGCAACAUGGAUGGACCUAGACAUUGUCAUCCUGAGUGAAGUAAGUCAGACAAAGAGGGAGAAAUAUCGUAUGACAUCCCUUAUAUGUGGAAUCUAGGAAGAAAUUAUACAAAUGAACUUACUUACAAAACAGAAAGAGACUCACAGACUUAGAAACAAUCUUGUGGUUGC
rnacentral:lncRNA from 1 species